rnacentral:rRNA from 1 species
GACGAACGCUGGCGGCGUGCCUAAUACAUGCAAGUAGAACGCUGAAGGAGGAGCCUGCUUCUCUGGAUGAGUUGCGAACGGGUGAGUAACGCGUAGGUAACCUGCCUGGUAGCGGGGGAUAACUAUUGGAAACGAUAGCUAAUACCGCAUAAGAGUAGAUGUCGCAUGACAUAUGCUUAAAAGGUGCAAUUGCAUCACUACCAGAUGGACCUGCGUUGUAUUAGCUAGUUGGUGAGGUAACGGCUCACCAAGGCAACGAUACAUAGCCGACCUGAGAGGGUGAUCGACCACACUGGGACUGAGACACGGCCCAGACUCCUACGGGAGGCAGCAGUAGGGAAUCUUCGGCAAUGGACGGAAGUCUGACCGAGCAACGCCGCGUGAGUGAAGAAGGUUUUCGGAUCGUAAAGCUCUGUUGUAAGAGAAGAACGAGUGUGAGAGUGGAAAGUUCACACUGUGACGGUAUCUUACCAGAAAGGGACGGCUAACUACGUGCCAGCAGCCGCGGUAAUACGUAGGUCCCGAGCGUUGUCCGGAUUUAUUGGGCGUAAAGCGAGCGCAGGCGGUUUGUCGCGUCGUCUGUGAAUUCCGGGGCUUAACUCCGGGCGUGCAGGCGAUACGGGCAUAACUUGAGUACUGUAGGGGUAACUGGAAUUCCUGGUGUAGCGGUGAAAUGCGCAGAUAUCAGGAGGAACACCGAUGGCGAAGGCAGGUUACUGGGCAGUUACUGACGCUGAGGAGCGAAAGCAUGGGUAGCGAACAGGAUUAGAUACCCUGGUAGUCCAUGCCGUAAACGGUGGGCGCUAGGUGUGAGGGUCUUUUCACGACUUUCGUGCCGUAGCUAACGCAUUAAGCGCCCCGCCUGGGGAGUACGGCCGCAAGGCUAAAACUCAAAGGAAUUGACGGGGGCCCGCACAAGCGGCGGAGCAUGUGGAUUAAUUCGAUGCAACGCGAAGAACCUUACCUGGGCUUGACAUACACCGGAUCGGGCUAGAGAUAGUCUUUCCCUUUGUGGCUGGUGUACAGGUGGUGCAUGGUUGUCGUCAGCUCGUGUCGUGAGAUGUUGGGUUAAGUCCCGCAACGAGCGCAACCCUUGUCUUAUGUUGCCAGCAUUUGGUUGGGGACUCAUGAGAGACUGCCGGGGUCAACUCGGAGGAAGGUGGGGAUGACGUCAAAUCAUCAUGCCCCUCAUGUCCAGGGCUUCACACAUGCUACAAUGGUCGGUACAACGCGCAGCGACACUGUGAGGUGGAGCGAAUCGCUGAAAGCCGGCCUUAGUUCGGAUUGGGGUCUGCAACUCGACCCCAUGAAGUCGGAGUCGCUAGUAAUCGCAGAUCAGCAACGCUGCGGUGAAUACGUUCCCGGGCCU